UAGGGAAUCUUGCGCAAUGGGGGCAACCCUGACGCAGCGAUACCGUGUGAGGGAGGAAGGUCUUCGGAUUGUAAACCUCUGUCAAAAGGGACAAAUGGUGUAGCGAGUAACAUACGCUACACGUGAUGGUACCUUUAAAGGAAGCACCGGCUAACUCCGUGCCAGCAGCCGCGGUAAUACGGAGGGUGCAAGCGUUGUUCGGAAUUAUUGGGCGUAAAGCGCGCGCAGGCGGAAGGAUAAGUCAGGUGUGAAAUCUCGGGGCUCAACCCCGAACGUGCGCCUGAAACUGUUUUUCUAGAAUGCUGGAGGGGGAUGGGGUAUUUCUCAUGUAGGGGUAAAAUCCGUAGAGAUGAGAAGGAACACCUGGGGCGAAGGCGCCAUCCUGGACAGAUAUUGACGCUGAGGCGCGAAAGCGUGGGGAGCAAACAGG
rnacentral:rRNA from 1 species